rnacentral:rRNA from 1 species
GAUGAACGCUGACAGAAUGCUUAACACAUGCAAGUCUUUGGCGAAGCUGUGCUCGCACAGCCUAGCCAAGGCGGACGGGUGAGUAACGCGUAAGGAACUUGCCCUGCAGUCAGGGAUAACAGACGGAAACGACUGAUAAGACCUGGUAAAGUCAGGCGGACUCAUGUCCAGCCUGAUGAAAAGAGAUGCUGCAGGAGAGCCUUGCGUCCUAUUAGCUUGUUGGUGGGGUAACGGCCCACCAAGGCGAUGAUAGGUAGCCGGCCUGAGAGGGUGGACGGCCACAAGGGGACUGAGAUACGGCCCUUACUCCUACGGGAGGCAGCAGUGGGGAAUAUUGGACAAUGGGGGCAACCCUGAGCCAGCAAUUCUGUGUGCACGAUGAAGGUUUUCGGAUUGUAAAGUGCUUUCAGCAGGGAAGAAAAAAAUGACGGUACCUGCAGAAGAAGCGACGGCUAAAUACGUG